GCUCCUGCAAAACCUAAAUCACCUGCUCCAGUUACCGCUCCUGUAUCUUCACCACCGGCUGCUUCACCUACUAAACAAACCGUGCCAGCUCCGGCUCAGACUCCAUUGGCUACACCACCACCUGCCGCCGCUCCUGUUAGCUCGCCACCUGCCGUCACUCCGGUUAGCUCGCCACCUGCUCCAGUUCCCGUGAGCUCUCCGCCAGCUAAAUCUCCAGCCAAAUCUCCUCCUGCACCUGCACCAGUUACUCCACCAACAAGCUCCCCUCCUGAAACUGCUCCUUCUGUUCCGGUGGUUGCACCUACAGCAGAGGUUCCUGCACCGACUCCAAGCAAAAAGAAGCCGAAGAAGAAGCACACUGCUCCAGCUCCUGCUCCUGAGUUGUCGAGCCCACCUGCUCCACCAACCGAGUCACCUGGACCUAGCGCUGAAGCCAACUCACCUGGACCCUCUGUGGCUGAUGAGGUACAUUUUUGUGCCUUUUUUAAUUAAUUUAUGCUUAGGCCACUGUAUAACAUGCUCUGGAGCGCAAUGCACUCCCGGAUCUAAAGAGAUCCGCGGCGUAUAAUAGUGAAAACUGAUUAAGUUUUCUAAAGAUGAGCCGAUCAUUGUGCUUCGAGUUAAGCCAUUGCCGAAAGGCUAUAAUGUCGGUCGGUGCUACAUUGUCACUGAGAAAUGUGAAGCAUGCUUAGUGCUUCUCAAAUCUCAUGCUUAGUGCUUCUCAAAUCUAAUUUACUGGUUCUGGUAAGAGUUUGUUUGUAACGCGAUUAUUGAUGAACGCGGCAUUUCAGCGAGUGAGAUGCACGCUUCUGUAAUGAGGUGUUGACCAUAGUCAAUUCCAUUGUGAAUGUUGGUUCUGCAUAAUAUGAACCCGGGUCCACUGAGUUCCCUGUGAUGCGCCCGAUUGUACGAGGUGAUUGAAACAAAAUUGACCGUUUCAGAUUUCAGAUCAACUAUGAUUAGUAUUUUCCUAAAUACAAAUUAGAAAUUCAGAUGAGCUCAAUUUUAAUUUGGAUUGCUUUUGGGUAAAAUUGAAAUAUUGAAUUUGUUGAACCAAAUUGUAG
rnacentral:lncRNA from 1 species